rnacentral:rRNA from 1 species
AUUGAACGCUGGCGGCAGGCUUAACACAUGCAAGUCGAGCGGGGGAAGGUAGCUUGCUACCUAACCUAGCGGCGGACGGGUGAGUAAUGCUUAGGAAUCUGCCUAUUAGUGGGGGACAACAUUUCGAAAGGGAUGCUAAUACCGCAUACGCCCUAAGGGGGAAAGCAGGGGAUCUUCGGACCUUGCGCUAAUAGAUGAGCCUAAGUCGGAUUAGCUAGUUGGUGGGGUAAAGGCCUACCAAGGCGACGAUCUGUAGCGGGUCUGAGAGGAUGAUCCGCCACACUGGGACUGAGACACGGCCCAGACUCCUACGGGAGGCAGCAGUGGGGAAUAUUGGACAAUGGGCGAAAGCCUGAUCCAGCCAUGCCGCGUGUGUGAAGAAGGUCUUCGGAUUGUAAAGCACUUUAAGUCGGGAGGAAGGGCUGUAGGUUAAUACCCUGCGGUUUUGACGUUACCGACAGAAUAAGCACCGGCUAACUUCGUGCCAGCCGCCGCGGUAACAC